rnacentral:lncRNA from 1 species
AAUACUAACUGUACACCCAAAAGUUAGCGUAAAUCUCACACUCUUUUGUUAUUAAGUUUUUUUUUUUUAUAUUAGCUUUAUCAUAUUCUUAAUUUUAUAAUCGUUUGAUUGACUUUAUUUGUACAAUAAAAUGUUAUCUGCUGAAUCGCACUAUUACGAGGGAUUUGUAUUCUAUACAACUUCUGCACAUGGAGUUGUACAAAAUGUGUGCUUUAUUAAAAGAACGUGCACUUUACUAGAAAUAUUUUAAUAGAUUCACCGACAAUAAAAGCAAAACCUUCAAAUUUGAAAUUCCGGUUCUCGUACUCAUCAUAAUAUCUAAACUCGCCAAAAUCUUUAUUUAAAGCAAAAAUAAAAGUAAAAUUCGAAUAACUUUUUACAACGCCAUCCCCCUCCAUCCCAAAAUUU